rnacentral:rRNA from 1 species
AUACGUAGGGGGCGAGCGUUGUCCGGAAUUAUUGGGCGUAAAGCGUGCGUAGGUGGUUACCUAAGCGCAAGGUUUAAUCUUGAGGCUCAACCUCAUUCUGCCUUGCGAACUGGGCUACUUGAGUGCUGGAGGGGAAAGCGGAAUUCCUAGUGUAGCGGUGAAAUGCGUAGAUAUUAGGAAGAACACCGGUGGCGAAGGCGGCUUUCUGGACAGUAACUGACACUGAGGCACGAAAGCGUGGGGAGCAGACAGGAUUAGAUACCCUGGUAGUCCACGCCGUAAACGAUGAGCACUAGUUGUUGGGUCCGAAUGGAUUCAGUGACGCAGUUAACGCAAUAAGUGCUCCGCCUGGGGAGUACGGUGGCAACACUAAAACUCAAAGGAAUUGACGGGG